GGUCCUAUGGUGUAAUGGUAACACGACCCCUGCUAUUCAAAAAGCAGAACGGUAACUCUAGGUUCGAGUCCUGGUAGAUUA